GUAUAAUCUUAAUAAAUACCCAAUGUGCAAUAACAUGUCAAAUUUGGAUUACCUUAUAUUUGGAUAUACACUGCUAUCACAGAUACUUACUUUUCUCUCAACAAUGAACAAAGAACAGACUCAAAGCUAAACUAUAUUUCUUCUACUACUUUUCUAAUGUAAACACUACAGCAACUAGAUAAGCUGUCUAUCGCAUAAUCAGAUUUUGCGUUUGGCAAUGCACACAUGAUUCUGAACACCAUCACAUUCUUAGUUACAACAAUUUCUCAAACCAUUUCCCUGAAAGUAUCAACUGCAGCAACUUGAUAACUUUAGUAUCAUGACACUCCUCCUUCACAAACGGGAACACAACUCUAAAAAUCUAAAGCUAACUAUACACUUUUUACUGUUUUCCCGACAACCAGCAACUUUGGCAAUUUCA